AUUGAACGCUGGCGGCAGGCCUAACACAUGCAAGUCGAGCGGGGUUUUCGGACCUAGCGGCGGACGGGUGAGUAAUGCGUAGGAAGCUACCCGAUAGAGGGGGAUACCAGUUGGAAACGACUGUUAAUACCGCAUAAUGUCUACGGACCAAAGUGUGGGACCUUCGGGCCACAUGCUAUCGGAUGCGCCUACGUGGGAUUAGCUAGUUGGUGGGGUAAUGGCUCACCAAGGCGACGAUCCCUAGCGGGUUUGAGAGGAUGAUCAGCCACACUGGAACUGAGACACGGUCCAGACUCCUACGGGAGGCAGCAGUGGGGAAUAUUGGACAAUGGGCGCAAGCCUGAUCCAGCCAUGCCGCGUGUGUGAAGAAGGCCUUCGGGUUGUAAAGCACUUUCAGUAGGGAGGAAGGGUGUUGUGUUAAUAGCACAGCAUUUUGACGUUACCUACAGAAGAAGCACCGGCUAACCCUGUGCCAGCCGCCGCAGUAACAC
rnacentral:rRNA from 1 species